rnacentral:rRNA from 1 species
AGAGUUUGAUCAUGGCUCAGGAUGAACGCUGGCGGCGUGCCUAAUACAUGCAAGUCGAGCGAACCACUUCGGUGGUGAGCGGCGAACGGGUGAGUAACACGUAGGUGAUCUGCCCAUCAGACGGGGACAACGAUUGGAAACGAUCGCUAAUACCGGAUAGGACGAAAGUUUAAAGGUGCUUCUGGCACCGCUGAUGGAUGAGCCUGCGGCGCAUUAGCUAGUUGGUAGGGUAAAGGCCUACCAAGGCGACGAUGCGUAGCCGGCCUGAGAGGGUGAACGGCCACACUGGGACUGAGACACGGCCCAGACCCCUACGGGAGGCAGCAGUAGGGAAUCUUCGGCAAUGGGCGAAAGCCUGACCGAGCAACGCCGCGUGAAUGAUGAAGGCCUUCGGGUUGUAAAAUUCUGUUAUAAGGGAAGAACGACUUUAGUAGGAAAUGGCUAGAGUGUGACGGUACCUUAUGAGAAAGCCACGGCUAACUACGUGCCAGCAGCCGCGGUAAUACGUAGGUGGCGAGCGUUAUCCGGAAUUAUUGGGCGUAAAGAGCGCGCAGGUGGUUGAUUAAGUCUGAUGUGAAAGCCCACGGCUUAACCGUGGAGGGUCAUUGGAAACUGGUCGACUUGAGUGCAGAAGAGGGAAGUGGAAUUCCAUGUGUAGCGGUGAAAUGCGUAGAGAUAUGGAGGAACACCAGUGGCGAAGGCGGCUUCCUGGUCUGUAACUGACACUGAGGCGAAAGCGUGGGGAGCAAACAGGAUUAGAUACCCUGGUAGUCCACGCCGUAAACGAUGAGUGCUAAGUGUUGGGGGUCGAACCUCAGUGCUGAAGUUAACGCAUUAAGCACUCCGCCUGGGGAGUACGGUCGCAAGACUGAAACUCAAAUGAAUUGACGG